UCGCAGACGUCCACUGAGUCAUCGCACCCGCUUGUAAUUGACCUGAUCAUUUAAAAGUGUUUAGCACACUCACGCAUGUACGCCCUCCAGAGCAAGACCUGAGUGACAGACGGAGAGUUUGAACAAGCAGAGGUUCAAGUUGUUGCAUGCUUGUCUUGUUUUCUCCUCAGGUUUCAAAGUGAAGCAUCCAACAAAGAGGGCUCAUGUCGGUGACAGCAGCGCCGACAGCUGCGACUCCGGCAGCAGCCAUCAACAUGAGACACUUGACAAAGCUUGAGAGGGAACCAUUGAAAGCAUGACGGGGCGAUCUACCGUGGAGGAUAAAGCAGCGAGCUCCAGAUUGGACCGUAGCACCCUGUCAGUGGGCGGACGUACCGCUCUGGAGAGCUUCCCCUUGUGUUCUGUUGAUGGAAAGCAUGGAACCAAAACCCAAAGCACCUCGAAAGUCUUGCAGCGACUACUUUAGCCAUCGCCACUUCAAAGCGGCUGCGCUCAGAGUCCGACUCAGCUUCUCAAUCAGCGGCCGGGCUUCGCUGCAUGAGAUCAGAGGAGCUCAACGCAAGUUGGCGCAUGGAUGAUGGAUCCUUAAGAAAUGAGACAACUUGUGGGGUCAGCAACUUUCACUGGUUGGGGCCAUCAGCCUGCCGUGUCGGUGGCGUGUCAGUCUGAGGGGACACUUGGUUGACUCGUGUCCAGCUCACGCUCACUACAGACGGGUGUCUGAAUGGAUGAGGCUCAGUCGGACGGUCCACACUAGUUUUAUGCUGAUGCUGCUAAAGACAGACGGAUGAGCAGCAAGUGAGGAACUAUGCCAAUGCGUGCAAACACACACUGCGCUGGCCAUUUUGUUAGGAACAGUUUAAUGUAGGGUUCUGGUACAUGCUUUGCCUUUACGAACCCUGUAAUAGUUCACAUUUCAAGAGGUUUGAACUCUUACAUACUGUCAAAUUUGACCCGUUUUGACAUUUGACAGCAGCAAAAACACCCUAAACAUUGUUCUUUAAACCUGAAAUUUGACCCAAAAUGUUAUACUUAAGUACACGUGCUACAAAUUUUUGUACACUGAGGCUCCAGUUUGACCCAUUGAGACGGAUUUUAGAUCCACCAGUGUGGGUCAAAUCAAGGAACAUGGUGGUUUUAGGGAAUCUUGAAACUGUACAGGCCAUGUUUUAUUUUAUAUUUACAUUUAUUGCAGCUGCUCACUUCCCAACAGCAACCUCAUCCACCUCCUCAUCCCCAAAGCCCGCACCAUCUUUGGCUGCUAUUCAUUUAAGUUUUCUGCAGCUCUUGACUGGAAC